UACGGAGGGGGCUAGCGUUGUUCGGAAUUACUGGGCGUAAAGCGCGCGCAGGCGGAUAUUCAAGUCGGGGGUGAAAUCCCGGGGCUCAACCCCGGAACUGCCUCCGAUACUGGAUGUCUGGAGGACGGGAGAGGCGAGUGGAAUGCCGAGUGUAGAGGUGAAAUUCGUAGAUAUUCGGCGGAACACCCGUGGCGAAGGCGGCUCGCUGGUCCGUUUCUGACGCUGAGGCGCGAAAGCGUGGGGAGCAAACAGGAUUAGAAACCCCUGUAGUCC
rnacentral:rRNA from 1 species